GGCAACGUGGCGGAGUGGUUAUCGCGCAGCACUCGAAUCUUCUUAGACUCGCUAUGCUGUUCCUUCGGGAGCGCAUGUUCGAAUCAUGCCGUUGUCG